UACAGAGGGUGCGAGCGUUACUCGGAUUUAUUGGGCGUAAAGGGUGCGUAGGAGGCUGGGUAAGUCAGUUGUGAAAUUUCCAGGCUCAACCUGGAAACUGCAGUUGAUACUGCACGGCUAGAGGACCGGAGAGGCAAACGGAAUUCUCGGUGUAGCAGUGAAAUGCAUAGAUAUCGAGAGGAACACCAGUGGCGUAAGCGGUUUGCUGGAAGGUGCCUGACUCUGAAGCACGAAAGCUCGGGGAGCAAACGGG
rnacentral:rRNA from 1 species